rnacentral:rRNA from 3 species
UUGCUGGCGACCGGCGCACGGGUGAGUAACACGUAUCCAACCUGCCCUUUACUCGGGGAUAGCCUUUCGAAAGAAAGAUUAAUACCCGAUAGCAUAAUGAUUCCGCAUGGUUUCAUUAUUAAAGGAUUCCGGUAAAGGAUGGGGAUGCGUUCCAUUAGGUUGUUGGUGAGGUAACGGCCCACCAAGCCUUCGAUGGAUAGGGGUUCUGAGAGGAAGGUCCCCCACAUUGGAACUGAGACACGGUCCAAACUCCUACGGGAGGCAGCAGUGAGGAAUAUUGGUCAAUGGGCGUUAGCCUGAACCAGCCAAGUAGCGUGAAGGAUGAAGGCUCUAUGGGUCGUAAACUUCUUUUAUAUAAGAAUAAAGUGCAGUAUGUAUACUGUUUUGUAUGUAUUAUAUGAAUAAGGAUCGGCUAACUCCGUGCCAGCAGCCGCGGUAAUACGGAGGAUCCGAGCGUUAUCCGGAUUUAUUGGGUUUAAAGGGAGCGUANGUGGACUGGUAAGUCAGUUGUGAAAGUUUGCGGCUCAACCGUAAAAUUGCAGUUGAUACUGUCAGUCUUGAGUACAGUAGAGGUGGGCGGAAUUCGUGGUGUAGCGGUGAAAUGCUUAGAUAUCACGAAGAACUCCGAUUGCGAAGGCAGCUCACUGGACUGCAACUGACACUGAUGCUCGAAAGUGUGGGUAUCAAACAGGAUUAGAUACCCUGGUAGUCCACACAGUAAACGAUGAAUACUCGCUGUUUGCGAUAUACAGUAAGCGGNCAAGCGAAAGCAUUNAAGUAUUCNNCCUGGGGAGUACGCCGGCAACGGUGAAACUCAAAGGAAUUGACGGGGGCCCGCACAAGCGGANGAACAUGUGGUUUAAUUCNAUGAUACGCGAGGAACCUUNNCCCGGGCUUAAAUNGCAGUGNAAUGAUGUGNAAACAUGUCAGUGANNCAUCACCA